ACAAAAAUUGAAAUCGCGAAAUUGUCAAAAAUCAACAAAAAAAAUAGCGCAAAACAAAUAAAAAGCAAAGAUAUACAAAACCAGAGAUCGUACAAUAUUUUUUUCAAGUGUUGAACCAAAUAAGUGCUUUAGCAACAAAACCAACAACAACAACAACUACUAAAUACCACAAUGCCUUACCACAGCUUUACGCUUUAGUGUCACAAAGUGUGUUUUUUGUUAUUUCCAUUUUUUACAAAAAAAAAAUUAAAAAAAAAUAAAGUGAGCCCUUUUUUCAAUUUCGAAAACUCAACAACAAAGCCCGGCUUAGAACCCCUAAACCCAAACAGGUGUCUGUCGCCUGGGAGAACAGUGUUGGAAAGCAGUCUAAGAAGCAGAAAGACAAUCAGCAGGUGGAAUCUCAGUCCUCCAGCUCAGCUCUGCUCGGCUCGGCUCGGAUCGGCGAUUUGUGCAUUUUUUUAAUGAUUCGCUGCCGAUGUGAAGCGAGGUGCCGGCUGUUUCAACGUUCAACGCAUUCGCUCGGCCCCCGCGAUCUGAGCAACAACACACACUAAAAAAUAAAAAAUUAAAAUAAUAAUAAUAAAAAUAAAUCUUAAUCGAUGGAUCGGCCAUAUACCCAAACCCCAGAGAUCCAAAACUUGACGAUAAAAAAAUCCUAGAGCAGAGAAACAAACAAAAAAAUUUGUGAUAAAAACAAUAAAGUGAAAACAAAGUAAAGUGUGUGCCUCCGAUAUAAUAAAAAUCGGGUCUUAAAGCCCAAAACUAUAUACAACAAAUAUAUAAAAUAUUAAAUAUUUAUAUAAUUAUAUACCUAUAUAUUAUACAUGAGAACUUGUUGAGCAGUAACCGUUCCAAUACAACAAGUGCAACGCGUAGGCCUUCAACUGUGAUUUAAAAAUUAAAAAUUUAUA